UUUUUUUUCCCUAUCCAUGUUUUUUUCAAUUUUCUAACUCUAUCUUUAACUUAUAAUUCAUUUACAAUUUCUUUCUUCCUCUUAUCACAUUUCGUAUCUAAUUUUUCUCCCCUUUCUCUCUCUUUCUCUCUAUUUUUUAUCUGGUUUUUUAUUAUUUUAUUUGAUAUUUCUUUUGCUCCAUUCCAUUUCCUUUUCCUUCUUUUCCAUAUGAUUCUUUUCCCUCUCACUCUCUCUUUCUCUAGGAUCCAUUUCCCUCUUACAAUAGGAGCUCUUAAAUUCUUCCAGCAACUUCUUCCCUCUCCCAGCGACUUUUCUUUCUCAUCUUCACGGUUUUGGUUAUCUACAGAACUUUUUAGUAGGGCAAACGGUGGUCAGAACCUAUGCCAUGUCAACACAACCCUUUUUUGCAAUCUUCCCUCAAACCUAUCCUCACUCACGAUACGUGUUCUUAGGGAAGAUAACAAACCAACCACAGCAGGGGAAAGAUGGGCGCAUCACUUCACAGGUCUUCAAAAAGACAAGCAAUACAGUUAAAACCUCCAUACCUUAUGCCCUUUUUUGACAUGUUUGGAUAUGGAGGACCUAUUGCAUCUAUGCAUUUAGGUAGGUAUGAGUUGCUUAAUUUGUGUCCUCAUUCUGAUUGAAUAUUUCUAAAUAUUUAGUUUUACCUUUUUUCAUUUCUUUGCCCUAUUCUAGGCAUGCUCUUGUUUCUUCAAAGACAGACUGCCAAGUAGAAUGCUUGAUGCAAUGUCUUGAAGUAGCACAUCAGAAUACAUUUUUCUAGUUGAGUUGUUGAAGAACUUUUUAUUUUUCCUUUUUUACUUAAUCAUGCUUUUCUAUUGUCUGAUAAUAUUAAUUUUAAAAGUAAAGAUGUUCAUCCUUUUUUUUGAUUGAUAAUUUAAG